AAAUAGGCCCUGCCACCUCUGGAAACAGUUCUACAUACACUGGCUCAAGAGAAGGGCUGCUGUAGAAUAAGGUGCGGAAGAACAAUCCAUGAGAGUUCUGGAGGGCUGAUACUCCCUGCCUGGAGGCCUGCUCCAUCGACCUUUACUGCUGUUGGAGAGAUUUUCUGGGUGCAGGUAUAGGCAGGUACAUGAGUUCCAGUCACUGUUUGCACCAGAGGCCUGCACAUCAGCCACAGGAAGGUCCUCCAGGAGGUGUUCCAGCAGAAGGCCUUGUCACAGGAGUGAUUGUUCCACGUGUGUUUGCACUUGAAGACCUUCCAAGGGGAUUGAAGACAGAGGUGGAAAAUGGACACCUGCAUACCUAGAAGAGGUUUCAUGUGGAUGGUCUUGGUGCAGAAUGCAGAGGAUUUUGGUCACAAUACAAAAAAGAAGAAGAGCCAGUGGUGACUGAGCCAGAAGAGGUGAAGAAACAACCUGUCCCAGGGUGUCCACCCUUACAAUGCCAAACAUCUAUCACCUGAAGAUCUCCAGAGUCAUUUGGAAUCCCAGUUAAAGAAGUUUUUGGUCAAUCUCCAUGGAAGAUCAUCUGAAGUUCAGUUUUUUGGCACAUUUAGUUAAUGACUUGUACCAUGCAAAGCCUAACUCCAGGUUUCACUGGAAGUGCAGGGUUAGAGAGAUUCCUGUCUUUUGUUAUGUUCCUGUUCAAGAUGGACCUAAACUUUAUGAAUUUAAUGGCUGUAGUCUGCCUCCCAGUUUGAAAAUCACUUGGAGUUACUGAGUAAUUCAGCAGAUGAACACAUUUAAAUAGUUUUUUUCUCUUAGCAAGGGGGCUGCCUAUUGGCCUUUCUGAUACUUUAUCAUGUGCAAUGCUAUCAGAACUAUUCUCUAAACCCACUUUUUCUGUAGAAGAAUGCAUCAGCUUUUUUUCUUAUUAUCAUAAAUCAACAAAGAAAUUACAGGAUUUUCUAUUUUCACAUUUGCUGAAAGCAUUUUUUAAAAAUCAGGUCAUUAAUAAUUUAUGAAAACUCUCUUCUCCAGGGGACACUGUAAUUAACUUGGGCUUAAGAUAAGUGGCUAUUAUAAGUUCAGAUGUAGUCUUUACCCAUCAGAGGCAUAAAGUAGUGGUUGCAGCAAAAUGUUUUAAUCCUGGUAAGACUUUUAAGCCUAAGAUUACAUAUAGCAUAUAUACAAAUAAGGAAACUUGAAGUUGGUGUUGUAUAUUAUAGAGUUACUUCUUUCACUGUUGUUUUACUUCACAAGUAAAGAAGCAGAAAAUGAUACCGUGGGUUCUAGAUUAAAAUAAUUUUUUUUAACUCAAAGUAGAUUUCUUUAAAAAAUAAUUACUGUCUCUUAAUUGGCUACAUUUUAAAACUGGUAUUGGAAAAAAGAUAUGAAAAUAAGUGAGAAAAACCUGGA